rnacentral:rRNA from 1 species
AAUGAACGUUGGCGGCGUGGAUUAGGCAUGCAAGUCGAGCGAGAACCGUAGCAAUACGGGGACAGCGGCGCAAGGGACAGUAAUGUGUAGAUCAUCCGCCCUCAGGUCCGGGAUAGCUGCGGGAAACUGCAGGUAAUACCGGAUAACAUCCCCGGAUCAAAGGUGUGAUUCCGCCUGAGGAUGAGUCUACAUCCUAUUAGCUAGUUGGUAGGGUAACGGCCUACCGAGGCGAUGAUGGGUAGCGGGUGUGAGAGCACGACCCGCGUCAUUGGGAGUGAGACACUGCCCAGACACCUACGGGUGGCUGCAGUCGAGAAUCGUCGGCAAUGGAGGAAAGUCUGACCGAGCGACGGCGCGUGUGGGAUGAAGGCCUUCGGGUUGUAAACCACUGUCAGAGGGGAUGAAAUGCAGGUGGGUUCUCCCAUCUGUUUGACAUAGCCUCAGAGGAAGGACGGGCUAAGUUCGUGCCAGCCGCCGCAGUAAAAC